CAGCAGCCACGGGAAUACGGAGGGUGCAAGCGUUAUCCGGAUUUAUUGGGUUUAAAGGGUCCGUAGGCGGAUCUGUAAGUCAGUGGUGAAAUCUCACAGCUUAACUGUGAAACUGCCAUUGAUACUGCAGGUCUUGAGUAAAUUUGAAGUGGCUGGAAUAAGUAGUGUAGCGGUGAAAUGCAUAGAUAUUACUUAGAACACCAAUUGCGAAGGCAGGUCACUAAGAUUUAACUGACGCUGAUGGACGAAAGCGUGGGGAGCGAACAGGAUUAGAUACCCGCGUAGUCCCUGUCUCUUAUAC
rnacentral:rRNA from 1 species